rnacentral:rRNA from 1 species
CUGCGAAUGGCUCAUUAAAACAGUUAUAGUUUAUUUGAUGGUCUCUCUUACAUGGAUAACCAUGGUAAUUCUAUGGCUAAUACAUGCGCAAUCGCCUCCUUCUCUGGAGGGGCUGUGUUUAUUAGAUACAAAACCAACCCACUUUGUGGAGUCCUGGUGAUUCAUAGUAACCGAACGGAUCGCAUUUGGCUUCGGCCCGCGAUGGAUCAUUCAAGUUUCUGACCUAUCAGCUUUCGACGGUAGGGUAUUGGCCUACCGUGGCAGUGACGGGUAACGGGGAAUUAGGGUUCGAUUCCGGAGAGGGAGCCUGAGAAACGGCUACCACAUCUAAGGAAGGCAGCAGGCGCGCAAAUUACCCAAUGAAAACAGUUUCGAGGUAGUGACGAGAAAUAACAAUACAGGGCAUUUUAUGCUCUGUAAUUGGAAUGAUGGGAAUGUAAAACCCUUUCAGAGUAACAAUUGGAGGGCAAGUCUGGUGCCAGCAGCCGCGGUAAUUCCAGCUCCAAUAGUGUAUAUUAGAGUUGUUGCAGUUAAAAAGCUCGUAGUUGGAUUUCUGUCGUGGUCAUCCGGUACCGCCCGUAUGGGUGCGCACCUGGUUUGCCCUCGGCUUUCUUCCAGUAGCCUUCCGCGCUUCACUGCGUGUGUCGGUGUUCUGGAACUUUUACUUUGAGAAAAAUAGAGUGUUUCAAGCAGGCUUGUCGCCCUGAAUACUUCAGCAUGGAAUAAUAAGAUAGGACCUCGGUUCUAUUUUGUUGGUUUCUAGGACCAAGGUAAUGAUUAAUAAGGACAGUUGGGGGCAUUCGUAUUUAACUGUCAGAGGGGAAAUUCUUAGAUUUGUUAAAGACGAACUACUGCGAAAUCAUUUGCCCAGGAUGUUUGCAUUAAUCAAGAGCGACAGUAAGGGGGUGUGAGACGAUAAAAAACCGUCGCAAUCUCUACUUUAAACUAAGCCGACUAGACAUACGGAAAUGCCUACCUUGGCUUCCUCCGCGCCC